UGACAAUAACAUUCCAUUGGAUUGGACCUCAAGAAACUCUUGCAAUUAUUACAUAAUAUUUGAAUAUUAUAGUAUACAUAGUAUUCUAACAUGCUCCCUCAUUUGAUCAAUGGAAGAAACACAAACCCAUAUUUUGAAGGAGACAACGCUACCGCAAUAGCUCUCUGGUUCAAGUUCUGUUUACUCACUAUACUCCCAUUCUCUUUGCUAAUGACCCUUUUUAUCCUGUGCUCAUUCUACAAAAACCAUUAAUGAACUCUCCGCUUAACAUCAUUUUGGAAGUGUUUUUCCUUUGCUGGGUGUUGAUACUUCUUUCUGUAUAAUCAUCGCCAUAGAUGAUUGUUUUUACUGUAUAGAGAGAUCUUUCAGGGACCACUAAGCUCUAUGCCUGGCCAUGGAAAAGGGAGUAUCGCGGUGAAAUCUGGUGUGAAAUUGGAAAUACCAGAUGGAGUCGUUCUUCAGAACAAGGAAAUUAAUGGCCCGGAUGACCUCUAAGAAAGUUGCCUGGCGCAACAACGAGUUGAAGAAAAACUUCGAGCAGCCUUGCUUUCGUGUAGCAAUUCCCUUGUAUUUUGCUAGAACAAUAAGAGAUGAAUUCAGUUUGCAGUUGUCUGAAUCUAGAAAUCAUCUUGCAGCACAUUAGUCUUCCUUGUUUAUUACAAGAACUGACACACAUGAGGUUGUGAAACUGCUGCUGCUGCACAUUAAUAUACACAUGGAACAGCAUGGUCCGAUUUUUUGUUCAA